UACAGAGGUGGCAAGCGUUGUUCGGAAUUACUGGGCGUAAAGGGCGCGUAGGCGCCUUCUAAGUCAGACGUGAAAUCCCCCGGCUUAACCUGGGAACUGCGUCUGAUACUGGGAGGCUUGAGUAUGGGAGAGGGAUGUAGAAUUCCAGGUGUAGCGGUGAAAUGCGUAGAUAUCAGGAGGAACACCGGUGGCGAAGGCGGAUCUCUGGGCCUUACCUGACGCUCAGGCGCGAAAGCUAGGGGAGCGAACAGG
rnacentral:rRNA from 1 species